GAGUUUGAUCAUGGCUCAGAACGUACGCUGGCGGCACGCCUAACACAUGCAAGUCGAACGAAGUAGCAAUACUUAGUGGCAGACGGGUGAGUAACAUGUGGGUAUCUGCCCUUUGGCCUGGAAUAACACGAGGAAACUUGUGCUAAUACUGGAUAAGUCUUUACGGAGAAAGCUUUAUGCACCAUUGGAUGAGCCUGCACUUGAUUAGUUUGUUGGUGGGGUAAUGGCCUACCAAGACUGUGAUCAAUAGCUGAUUUGAGAGGAUGAUCAGCCACAUUGGGACUGAGACACGGCCCAAACUCCUACGGGAGGCAGCAGUGGGGAAUCUUGCACAAUGGAGGAAACUCUGAUGCAGCGAUGCCGCGUGAGUGAAGAAGGCCUUUGGGUUGUAAAGCUCUUUCGUCGGGGAAGAAAAUGACUGUACCCGAAUAAGAAGGUCCGGCUAACUUCGUGCCAGCAGCCGCGGUAAUACGAAGGGACCUAGCGUAGUUCGGAAUUACUGGGCUUAAAGAGUUCGUAGGUGGUUGAAAAAGUUAGUGGUGAAAUCCCAGAGCUUAACUCUGGAACUGCCAUUAAAACUUUUCAGCUAGAGUAUGAUAGAGGAAAGCAGAAUUUCUAGUGUAGAGGUGAAAUUCGUAGAUAUUAGAAAGAAUACCAAUUGCGAAGGCAGCUUUCUGGAUCAUUACUGACACUGAGGAACGAAAGCAUGGGUAGCGAAGAGGAUUAGAUACCCUCGUAGUCCAUGCCGUAAACGAUGUGUGUUAGACGUUGGAAAUUUAUUUUCAGUGUCGCAGCGAAAGCGAUAAACACACCGCCUGGGGAGUACGACCGCAAGGUUAAAACUCAAAUGAAUUGACGGGGACCCGCACAAGUAGUGGAGCAUGUGG
rnacentral:rRNA from 1 species